rnacentral:misc_RNA from 1 species
AGAGUUAAACAGUACGUGAAAUUGUUGAAAGGGAAACGAUUGAAGUCAGUCAUGCUGGUGAGAAAUCAACUUGGUGGUUCGCUUCCUUGUGCAUUUUCUCGCUUGGCAGGUUAGCAUUAAUUUUGGUUGUCACCAAAGAAUUGGGGGAAUGUGGCUUCUCUUCGGAAAAGUGUUAUAGACCCUGAUGGAUGUGGCGACUGGGAUUGAGGUUUGCAGCGGAAGCCUUCGGCCAGUCACCUGUCUUCUGAUUGUCACCCUGUUUUUGACAGCUUGCUGAUGAUUGCGGGAUUUGGCGACCUAGAAGUUAGAGUGUACUUAAAUUCGCUAAGGAUGCUGACGUAAUGGCUUUAAACGA